rnacentral:lncRNA from 1 species
GAGGGGCUUACCUACGUCCGGCAAAUCUCGCGACGGUGGAGGCUUCCGGAGGGAAGAAACGGACGGCAACACUCGGAUAGGGAAAACAGAGCAACUGGGGAGGGGGUUUUAAGAGAGGAAGGUAGGUUUUGGGCGGCUUCGCUUGAUUGUGGCGGCACGAAGGCCGCAAGAGAUGAGGAAGAUGGAUGAAGGUGGCACGGCGGUGGAUCUUAGAAAGGGGGUGGGGGAAUUUAAAGGGCUUUGGAUGAACUCAACUGUUCGUUCGGGCCUCGGGGAGCUCGCCGACGUCCUUAUUCCACAACCACAAAGGCACGCGGCCAACUACGAUGCAAAGGUAUGUUAAAGAGCGCCCACGCGUGCUCCACAUAACUAAUUUGGACCAAGGUACGCCGAAGAGCGCCCACGCGGCCAACUACGAUACAAAGGUAUGCUGAAGAGCGCCCACACGGGCUCUACAGAACUAAUUUGGACCAAGGU